AGCUUCUGGGUCUGCUUGGUGUGGACGCCGCACUGUCACUGCGGAGAUCAGGUGGGUUCGAAUCCCAUAGGGGCUGCCA
rnacentral:tRNA from 1 species